AGGUAUUCCAUUUAUACUAAAGGCAGGGAAAGCAUUGAAGAAAGGCAGAUAUACAUGUUCAAUUUAAGGAUGUUCCUGGUGAUAUAUUCAAAUGUGAAAAGCAAGGGAGAAAUGAGUUUGUCAUACGGCUGCAACCUUCUGAAGCGAUGUACAUGAAGCUAACAAUGAGUUUGCUAAUCUUAUUGUGUCCAUCUGAAAGGCUAUGAUCAAAGCUAUUGUUUCUAUGAAUGCUGUUUUCACGUUUGUAGACUUUCCUUCAUGCUUCAACAUGUGAAGCAGCCCGGUUUGGAGAUGUCAGCAGUGCAAAGUGAACUAGACCUGUCUGUUAUGCGCCUUAGCGUAGGAUCUAGUCACAGGUCUAGACGAGAAAGAAUUCUUGCUUCGACCUAUGGUUACUCAAAAGGCAGAUUCGUCCUUGACUGAACUCCCUCUCAAAAUAACAUUUCUUUUGAUAGAAUAAUUGCUUACUUCUUUAUUUCAUAUUAACAGCCUUUUAUAGACUGUUAAUGACAAAAGAAAGAGUCCUAAUUGACAUAAAGUAGAAUUCCUAACUUAGAGUUUAUGAAGGAAAUAAAAACCUAAUAUAAUAGAUAAAAUAAGUAAAACUAAAGUUCUUAGUAAAACCUGAUAUAUAAUAAAUAAAUAAAACUAAAGACUCCUACUGCAAUUAAAGUGUCCAUAUCACUGUCAUACAAGCAACGCUAUCAAGGUGUUAUGAUCCGAGAGGCUUAUGAACGUCUUGUUCUUGACACGUAUGGUCCUUGCCCCUCCUAAUUCUCAAAAUAUUAUUAUUCGGGAUCCUUUAAUCUUUCUGCUUUCAAAUUAAGUGCUUCAAUUUUCAUUCGAGCUUUAAAGGCUAGUAGGUUUAGGAUUAGAAACCAUGAUAACCAGUUAAAUACACUUGAGAAUUAAGAAUACAGUUUUAAGGUUCCCAUGUAAUGAACAAUGGAUCUAAAUUUGGUUAUACAGGAUCCGAGGCGAUCAGCAGCAUUUUGUUCGCAGAGAUGAAUUAAAGGCGGCAUGGAAGAUAUUCACACCUCUUCUACACCGAAUUGACAAUGGUGAAAUGAAGCUGACUCCAUACCAGCGAGGCAGCCUGGUCCUACAGAAGCAGAUGAGCUUUCGGCUAAAGCCGGUUAUGUUCAAACACAUGGAUACAUUUGGGCCCUUCCACCUCAUAGAAACUUGCUAUAAGCGAGGUAUUGGUUUGUAACACAUCCAAUAAAAACGCAGCCAUGUAACCCUAUCCCAGCCAAGCCUAGGAACAUUUUACCUUGCCUAUUUGAAGUGUGUACCUUACAUAUUUUGUGUAUAGAAUAGGAUUCUAUAUCCCUUUUUGAAUCCAAUUUGGAACAUUUUAUGAA